rnacentral:antisense_RNA from 1 species
UGUGGGAGCUGGCUUGCCUGCGAUGGCGCCGGGUCAGCCAACUCAUCGGUAUCUGAUGCACCGCUAUCGCAGGCAAGCCAGCUCCCACC